rnacentral:tRNA from 1 species
GCCGGGGUGGCGAAACUGGCAGACGCGCACGUUUGAGGGGCGUGUGGGAUUCCCGUAGGGGUUCAAGUCCCCUCCCCGGCACCA